GAUGAAGAACGUAGCGAAAUGCGAUAAGUAAUGUGAAUUGCAGAAUUCAGUGAAUCAUCGAAUCUUUGAACGCAUCUUGCGCUCCUUGGUAUUCUGAGGAGCAUGCCUGUUUGAGUGUCAUUAAAUUCUCAACUACACUGACUUUGAAUUGGUGUGGCUUGGAUUUGGGGGGAAAAUUGUUGUGGGCUUUUUGUAUAGUCUGCUCCCCUGAAAUUGAUUAGCGGUACCUUUGUGGAACUGUCUACAGGUGUGAUAAUUAUCUACAUCUUAGACAUCUGCUGGAAUGCUGCUUUCUAAACCUUACUUGUAUUGACAAUCUUGACCUCAAAUCAGGUAGGACUACCCGCUGAACUUAAGCAUAUCAAUAAGCGGAGAA
rnacentral:misc_RNA from 1 species